CGAAACUUGGUCAGUAGUCAGCUAUAAGGUGAAGGCAUAUUUGGCAUGGAACGGGAAGUGGUGUUUCUCUAUGAUGAUGAAUCAAUGAUGACGAGUCCGAUCUUUCCAUUCUUAACAAUACUGACGACAAAUCGAGGCAUUUGUCUGAGAGGAACUCCACUCUUCCACUCUUCCUUCCAUUUCCACCAUUUUUAUUUUUAUAAUUUCUGUGUUGUUGAUUGAAUGUGGAUUGUUAUGCAGAGGAAUUUUAGUUGAUGCUGGAACUUUUGGGCAUGAUGAGGAUAUUUAUGAACAUUUUCAUAUGGUCAUUCAUAUGAUGAAAACAAUCCUCCUACUCAUUCUGAAUGCCUCAGUUUGAUUUUACGUACUAGUUUGGUAGAGAAAGAUGAUAAAGUAGCCAUGAUGAUGAAAUUGAUAUUUGACGAGAGAAUUCUCAGUGAUUGUGUUUCAAGCACUUUUGAGCUACUACUCCCUUUCUCUUAUUCCACUUUGUUUUUAAAAAAUCUUUUUGGAAACAGAUGGUGCUGCUGCCUCUCAUUCCUCAUUUGUUUUUUUGGUAUUUUCACUAGAAAUAACUUUUGAUUUUACACUGGCACAAAACAGCUUAUUCAUUGUUUUCUUGCUUUUUCUCCCAAAAUCAUUCUCGGGCAAUUGUAGCUUUUUCUCCCAAAAUCAUUCUCGGGCAAUUGUGAUUUGCUCCUUACUGUUCCAGGCAUAUCUUUAAUUAUUUUAUAUUUUUAAGUAUUAGAAUGUUUAAUUUAAUUUUAUAUAUUUUAAUUUUGUUUAUUUAAUUAUUAGAUUGAACUUUAUAUCACUGGGGUUAGAGUUUUCUUUAUUUAUAACCUAUUUUAUAUCCAUUCUGUAUAUUGUUAAGCACCGAUCACUAUUGAUUGAUUAGAAAUAAAUGCUUAGUGGAUGGAGGCACAUUUUUGCAUGAGAGCUCUGGCUGAAUGAAUCUUAUUACUUUUUGAGGCUUCUGGUUCUGCAUAUCCAUAUAGAACAAGAAGUUUAGCUGCUGUUUUUUUUGGUCAUUAAGUUUAGCUGCUGGUUGAAUGUUGCAGCCUGAAGGUAAAAGGACACCUAACGAAACAAACUGAAGAUACUAUAAGAUGGAAUCAUAGCUCGAAUGGUGAAGUCACCAUAGCCUCGGCUUAUAAAUUGUUAAGUCAAAGCAGUGAGAAAGAGCAACUCCCAGUAUGGAAAUGAAAAGGGAUGGAAAGAAUAAAAAUGCUCAUGUGGAGACUAGCCCAUGGGAGGAUCUUAACAGCAGGAAGAAGAGCUUGCAUGAUGGGGACAAAUCCAAACUGCCACUACUGCCCAAACCAGCCUGAGAUCCUUCUUCAUGCCUUCUGAGACUGCCCCCAACCCGCGAGGACUUGGAUAAAACUCAUCCAACUGAAUGCAACAGCUAUUUUCUUUGGAAUCGAUAUGGCAAAUUGGAUAAGAAUGAAUAUGGAAAAUAAUUUAGGAGUAUCAUCUGUACAUUCUUGGAUUGAUGAAUUUUUUGUGACUUGCUGGGCGAUGUGGAAAUGGAGAAAUCAAGAAGUGUUUUCACCCCCUUUUAACAGACCAAUGAAUGCAGUUAAAGUAAUUAGAGGCACGAUAGAAAAUUAUACUGUUGCUCAAGGGAAGAGGAAAGCGUCUAGAAAUGAUAUCCACCCUAAUAGGGAUCGAGGAGUUUGGCACCCUCCAACACAAGGGUGGUUGAAAUUAAAUACUGAUGGUGCUUUCGGGGAGACUCAAAAUGAUUCGGAUAGUGGAGGAUUGCUGAGAACUCAUGAAGGGAAAUGGAUAUGAGGUUUCAUGGCAAGGCUGGGGAACUGUCCAGCAAUACAGGCGGAACUCGGGGUAGUUUUUUAUUGAUUGAAAAUGGCUUGGGAGCUAGGAAUGAGGACAGCGAUGGUGGAAGUAGACUCUUUUGAAGUGAUGGUGGAAGUGAGUCUCAAUUUGCCAAUCGGAUGGGUAGGGGUGGGUUGUUGUCCAACCCGUUCGUACCUCACCCUACAAUAAUCUGUAUAGAAUUCGUUCCACUUUUACAUGCGGGUAUUAAAAAGUUAAACCUUAAUCCACCUAUGCGAGUAGCUGUCCUACCCGUAUAAUUAUAAAAAUUUAAUAAAUAAAAUUAAAUUUUAAAAUUUAUAUAAUCAUCAUUAUAUACAUAUCAUAAAUUAAAAGAAAAAUUUAAAUAUGAUAUAUUAUUGUUAAUUAUUUUACUAAUUAUUGUUGUUGACUAUGAUGCCCACAAGUUUGUGAUUAUGGACAAACAAAUCAUCGGUUGUUGAAAUUUUCAACCAAACAAAAUAAAAAUU